rnacentral:sRNA from 1 species
ACUUAGCCCCGAUAGAAACGACAUCCUUUUGUGGUGGUCCCGAAGCCUCGGGACACCACAAAAGAUAUAGUGGAUAGCGGGACGAGUG